UUCAUUGGCAGGCCCAGCAUGGAGGAUCUCCAAGAUGAAAGUCUGACAGCCUGAGUCAGUCUGCUCUGCGUCUUCCCAAGCUGGGCACGCUGCCCAGUGCUCACUUUUCCUGCAGGAGAGGAGGAGGAGGAGGAGGCCUGAGACCUGUGUGGUGAUGAAUGCUCUCACUUCUUCGGGCUUCAAAAGUACAGUUUAUCCGUGAGGAAUGGAGCGGCUUGUACACGGGCAGAGGGGAAAUUGCCUUUUCCUUUGACCUGCAGCCAGGGGCCCUCCAUGCUGCACAGCAUUGCAGCAGGGUUCUUCUGAGGGUGUUGGGUUGACAGGUUGAACUCAGAAAGGUCGAGAGGGCGAGGGCGGCAUUUGCAGAUUGUGGGACAGAAAGCUGAGACAGCAUGGCCCUCGGUGAGAACGCAGUGUGCAGCAGGAAUCGGGAGGCCAUGAAGGAAAACAGAGAAGCGUGACCUUGAGCCGUGUGCUGAGACGAAAAUCAACACAAAUCCAUCGAGUGUGGACACGAGCUCACAGGCCUCUGUACCCCUCCAAUGUGUGCGCUCAUUGGCAUAUGGUGUUUUGCUCAAAAUGGAUUAGACCGAGCCCCUCGUGGAUUUCUGUUGAAAGAUCAGAAUAUUGCAGAACACCACUGAGAGAUAAACAAAUUGGUGUUUUUAUCAUAUCUGCCUUUAAUUGAUAUUCAUAAAUGCAGCAAUUUAUAUGCAACAAAAGGUUUGGUCUAAACCAAAAAUUAACAUUCCUAACAUUAAUUGCAUUAAUAAAAAUGAAGUGGA